CUAUAAUGCAAGUCGAGCGGAGUUGAUGGAGAGCUUGCUCGCCUGAGGGUUACCGGCGGAGGGGUGAUUAACACGUAGGCAACUGGCCCGUAAAACGGGGUUACCUACCGGAAACGGUACCUAAUACCGGAUAAUUUAUCGUUUCCCAUGGAGGGGUAAUGAAAAACGGACCAUUCUGUCCCUUACGGAGGGGCCGGCGGCGCAUUACCUAGUUGGGGAGGUACCGGCUCACCAAGGCAACAAUGCGUACCCGACUUGAAAGGGGGAACGGCCCCCCUGGGACGGAAACCCGGCCCAAACUCCUACGGGAGGCAGCAGUAGGAAAUCUUCCGCAUGGGGCAAAAGCCUGACGAACCACCGCCCCGUGAGUGAUGAAGGUUUUCGAAUCGUAAAGUUCGGUUGCCAGGAAAAAACGUCGGGAAAAGUACCUGCUAUCCAAGGGACGGUCCCUGAAAAAAAAGCCCCGGCUAAUUACUUGCCACCACCCGCGGUAAUACUUAGGGGGCAAGCGUUGUCCGGAAUUAUGGGGCGUAAAGCGCGCGCAGGCGGUCACUUAGGUCUGGUGUUUAGGGUUAGGCCUCACUUCUAGUUCGCACUGAAAACUGGUUGACUUGAUUGCAAAAAAGAAAAGGGAAAUUCCCGUGUGCGGGGAAAUGCGUAAAGAUGUGGAGAAAACAGUGGCCGAAGGCGACUUUCUGGCUUGUACCUGCGGCUGAGGGCCGAAGGCGUGGGGAGCAAACAGGAUUAGAUACCCUGGUAGUCCACGCCGUAAACGAUGAU
rnacentral:rRNA from 1 species